UACGGGGGGGGUAAGCGUUGUUCGGAAUUACUGGGCGUAAAGGGCUCGUAGGCGGCCAACUAAGUCAGACGUGAAAUCCCUCAGCUUAACUGGGGAACUGCGUCUGAUACUGGAUGGCUUGGAUUCGGGAGAGGAAUGCGGAAUUCCGAGUGUAGAGGUGAAAUUCGUAGAUAUUCGGAAGAACACCAGUGGCGAAGGCGACUUACUGGACACAUAUUGACGCUGAGGUGCGAAAGCGUGGGGAGCAAACAGG
rnacentral:rRNA from 1 species